rnacentral:rRNA from 1 species
ACGCUCGACACCUACGGGAGGCAGCAGUGGGGAAUAUUGCACAAUGGGGGAAACCCUGAUGCAGCGACGCCGCGUGAAGGAUGAAGUAUUUCGGUAUGUAAACUUCUAUCAGCAGGGAAGAAAGUGACGGUACCUGACUAAGAAGCCCCGGCUAACUACGUACCAGCAGCCGCGGUAAUCUGAGCGGGCUGGCAAGGC